GUCUACGGCCAUACCACCCUGAACGCGCCCGAUCUCGUCUGAUCUCGGAAGCUAAGCAGGGUCGGGCCUGGUUAGUACUUGGAUGGGAGACAAUGUGAAUUCUAAAACAUUUUACU
ensembl:rRNA 5S_rRNA 5S ribosomal RNA